rnacentral:rRNA from 1 species
UACGGGGGGGGCAAGCGUUGUUCGGAAUUACUGGGCGUAAAGGGCUCGUAGGCGGCCAACUAAGUCAGACGUGAAAUCCCUCGGCUUAACCGGGGAACUGCGUCUGAUACUGGAUGGCUUGAAUCCGGGAGAGGGAUGCGGAAUUCCAGGUGUAGCGGUGAAAUGCGUAGAUAUCUGGAGGAACACCGGUGGCGAAGGCGGCAUCCUGGACCGGCAUGACGCUGAGGAGCGAAAGCCAGGGGAGCAAACGGG